rnacentral:rRNA from 1 species
GAUGAACGCUGGCGGCGUGCUUAACACAUGCAAGUCGAACUGAAAGGCCCAAGCUUGCUUGGGUACUCGAGUGGCGAACGGGUGAGUAACACGUGGGUGAUCUGCCCUGCACUUCGGGAUAAGCCUGGGGAACUGGGUCUAAUACCGGAUAGGACGAUGGUUUGGAUGCCAUUGUGGAAAGUUUUUUCGGUGUGGGAUGAGCUCGCGGCCUAUCAGCUUGUUGGUGGGGUAAUGGCCUACCAAGGCGUCGACGGGUAGCCGGCCUGAGAGGGUGUACGGCCACAUUGGGACUGAGAUACGGCCCAGACUCCUACGGGAGGCAGCAGUGGGGAAUAUUGCACAAUGGGCGCAAGCCUGAUGCAGCGACGCCGCGUGGGGGAGGACGGCCUUCGGGUUGUAAACUCCUUUCGCUAGGGACGAAGCGUUUUUGUGACGGUACCUGGAGAAGAAGCACCGGCUAACUACGU